CAAUAGCGUAUACUAAAGUUGUUGCAGUUAAAAAGCUCGUAGUCUGAUUUCGGGGUGCAAUUUUCUGGCCAGUGUUUUGGUGAUGGGACAAUUCGAUUCGUCGUUUUGGCCUGUUGCCGCCUGGCUGGAUGCACCUCUUUUUUUCCCAUUUAUCUGCGUGCGGGAUUGAUUUCCUGUGCGGUUUAUCGGAUGUUUGGGGCUUUACUUUGAAAAAAUUAGAGUGUUCAAAGCAGGCGUUUUUUUUGCUUGAAUAGAUUAGCAUGGAACAACAGAAGAGGACUUUUGGGCCUGUAUUUUGUUGGCCGGGGUUGGUUGUCACUUGUGGCAGCCUUCGCCGCAGGUCUGAAGUAAUGAUUAAUAGGGAUGGUUGGGGGCAUUGGUAUUUCACAGUCAGAGGUGAAAUUCUUGGAUUUGUGAAAGACGACCGACUGCGAAAGCAUUUGCCAAGGACAUUUUCAUUGA
rnacentral:rRNA from 1 species